rnacentral:rRNA from 1 species
UACGGAGGGUGCAAGCGUUAUCCGGAUUCACUGGGUUUAAAGGGUGCGUAGGUGGGUCUGUAAGUCAGUGGUGAAAUCUCCAAGCUUAACUUGGAAACUGCCGUUGAUACUAUAGGUCUUGAAUGUUGUGGAGGUGAGCGGAAUAUGUCAUGUAGCGGUGAAAUGCUUAGAUAUGACAUAGAACACCAAUUGCGAAGGCAGCUCACUACACAAAUAUUGACACUGAGGCACGAAAGCGUGGGGAUCAAACAGG